AAAGGGGGCGGGACACUGGAGAGAAACGGCUCCCGAAAGGGGCGGGACCUAUGGAAAUUGAGUGGCUUAUGGGGCGGGGUUUGGAGAGAGGCGGGCCAAGGGGGGAGGGGGAGAGCCUAGGGAGGAUUCACCGUCGGGGGACAGGAGUAAUCCCUGGCCCUCUUUGGGCCCUGUGCCCUCCUUGGCCGCGCUCACCCAGUAGCCGCCCAGGCCGGUGCGCGUGCAGUCGGUCUGGACAUCCCGCAGGAAGGGCAGGUGGUAGUACUUGGAGAACAGCAGCAGGAUGACGCCCUGCAUCCUCACACUGCUCACCUGCAGCGGGAGGCGACGUGGCUGGGGAGUGGGACACACUCCCCCGGCCCGCCCCCGCCUUCUCCCUGGGCCCCCUGCCUCCCAGAGGUGACUGAGGAUGGUACCAGCACAGAAGGGUCUUCUCCUUCCUUCUCUCCCCAGCCACCCUGACCCAAACCCACUGCAAGGGAGGUCAUGCUGUGUGGCCCCUACCUGGGAAAUGUCUCGAGGUAUAGAGGGUGAUACAGGAUAACCGUGCGAAGGUGGAGGAGCUUGAAGAAUGGGCCCUGAAUGGUCAAGCCAAUGAGAAAUUCCCAUUCCCCCAGCCACACCACUGGAUCGUGGAUGGACUAAUGAAAUAUAAGGAGACUUGCUGAUGGCUUUUGAGAAAGACAGUUUGUUUUCUCACCUGAGAAGGUAACCAAAAAGAUGACCUCUCUCCCAUUAUAUAUGAAUGAAAAUGCCUGUAGCUCUGGUUACUGCAGCAGCUAUCCUGACAGAAUACAGGGAACUCGCCUAAGGUUAAGCUAACACUGUAAAAAGUAGA